rnacentral:lncRNA from 1 species
AAAGAACCCACACCUCAAGUUCUUUCCAUAAGGCAGGUUGGACACAGCUGUUGACCUCAUCUGUGUAAUCCAAGAGAGAGUAAGACAAGAGGGUGCAGUCCUUGAUAGCCUAGCACCUGAAAAUACAGCCACCCUUUCCCCAGGUCUACAAACAUCUCCCGUGGCAGCAUCAAAGUUCAGACUCACCAUCCAAAUCAGGUCCAGUGCAGAAUCAGUUGGCAGAUGAUGGAGAAAGCCAGAUGAGGAUCACGGUGUCACUUUGAUUACUGAGGAAUCAAUUGGAAGGCAGACUUCAAUACACAGUGCAGGGAGAGAAGGAGAGAGGAAGAAAGGAGGGAAGGAAGGAGACCCAGUUGGGCAGGGCCUCUCAAGCUCACCAAUAGUUAAGACUACUUCCUACUUCCUCCAAAGAGUGAAUGAGAAGGAUCCUUCUGUGGUUCUGGGACCUGCAGCAUCAGAGACACUUGGGAAUGAUAGAAAUGUACCUUACAGGUCCAGCUUCCAGAAACACUGAGUCAAACUUGGGGGAGGAUGUACCUUAUUAGGGUUCUAAGCCCAGCAGAACCACUGAUCUAGAGGAAAUUACCUCUCAUGUAAACAUGAGACCCAGAAGAAAGUAUUUCCCUG